GUGGUGCUAGCAUCUGGUUGAAGGAGGAUGAACAACAAAGAGGAUGAACUACGCCGCUGGGAACCUUAGCGAUGGCUGUGCCAGUGGGAACAGAUGCCAGAUGGGAGUGAGCCCAGCAGAAGAUGAGAGACCAUAACAGACACCUUUCCUGCCUGUGGACCUGGCUGCUGGCGAGGUGCGGGCACCUCUGCACAGAGAUGGAAGCAGCCGUGUCACAUCACGGAGUUGACCAACCCUGGCACCUGCUCCAACUUUGCACUUUUUGUUAUAGGAGGAGACUCUUGGAGGAAGGGGCUGGUUGCCCGAGGAUCCCCGUGCCAUUAGAGGGUUAGAACUUCCAGCCAUGCCCCUGGACCUCCAAGGAGGGGGCUUGGAGAUUGACUUCGUCACCAAUGGCCAUCAAUUUACUCAGUUGGACCCAUGUGAUGAAGCCGCACAGAAAACCCUGAACAGAGGGGCUCUGAGAGCUCCCAGGCUGGUGAAUCUCCGGAGGUGCUGGUGGUGGUGCACCCAGAGAGGGCGUGGGAGCUCCGCACACCCCCGCCGUGCCAUGUGCCUCUUCCAUUUGGUGCUCCUGAGUUGAGUUCUUUACAAUAAACCACUACU